GUGCUUGCUCCGGCAGCACAUAUGCUGAAAUUGGAACAAUACAGAGAAAAUUAGCAUGGCCCCUGUGCAAGAUGACACACAAAUUCAUGAAGCAUUCCAUACUUUG